CUCUUUUUGUAUAUAUAUUUCAGACAAAGCUUCAUAUCCCAAUAUUUUUCAGUCGGCUUUUCUAGAGACUGGGUGGAGUAGGAUUGCCUCUUUAUUUAGACAAUUUAUAUAGCUGCCCAUCUCAAUCAACAAAUUCACUAACAGGACUAAUUUAACUUUCCCAACUCUGCCUGGGGGUAUAUCCAGAUCUUUAAUGCUUUGCAAAAAGGCAGAGGAGUCUCUGUCAUCCAGAUCAUUAGAGGACCCUGUUGCAUAAGGCAGUUGCUACAACAGAAAGCACAGCUUCUAGGCCCCACACUAUCCUAAGGGAAGGGAUUUUGAGCAUGCCAACUUUGCCAAUUCUGCUGGAGCAAACAGAAAUAACUAGACAGACACACAAGUACCCUGGUUCCAUCCAUGCUAUAUAUGUGAUAAAGGCAAAUUAGGAAUUUACUAAUUAACUUAAUCUUUUUGGGGUUUAUUGUUGGAAAGCAUUAUUAAGUUGAAUUAUUAACUUUACAGAACAGAUUGGUAAUCAAUGGCCCACAGGUUGCCUUUCCUGGUCUCCAUUGCCAAUGAAGAUUCAUAACAUGCCAUAUGCAAGAACAGCAAACUAAUUCGAAGAAUCAAAAGCUGGUGAGAACAUUACCACAACAUCAUCAGUAUGCCUUCUUGCACCUAGACAAGAACAUAAUGCUUUGAAUGCCACCAAUGGACUCCGGAUUACAUAUAAGCCAUUAUUUGGAAUAUUGGAUGGAACCCAGGUCUGUGGUUCAAGGUCUGGUUCUUCCUGCAAAUCUUUUUGGAGAGAGCUGAAUAAACAUUACCAAAUGCAAA